GGGUUGUGAGGUUAAGCGACUAAGCGUACACGGUGGAUGCCCUGGCAGUCAGAGGCGAUGAAGGACGUGCUAAUCUGCGAUAAGCGCCGGUAAGGUGAUAUGAACCGUUAUAACCGGCGAUUUCCGAAUGGGGAAACCCAGUGUGAUUCGUCACACUAUCAUUACGUGAAUACAUAGCGUAAUGAAGCGAACCGGGGGAACUGAAACAUCUAAGUACCCCGAGGAAAAGAAAUCAACCGAGAUUCCCCCAGUAGCGGCGAGCGAACGGGGAGGAGCCCAGAGCCUGAAUCAGCAUGUGUGUUAGUGGAAGCGUCUGGAAAGGCGCGCGAUACAGGGUGACAGCCCCGUACACAAAAGCGCAUGUG
rnacentral:rRNA from 1 species